rnacentral:lncRNA from 1 species
GGAACCCCUGCUCCUUGCCCUUGCUGAGGAUUUUGAAAUGCGCUUGGGUUGACCAGCCAACCCAGUUUGCCCUGGACUGUUCUGGUUUUAGCAUCAAAAGUCCCAUGUCCCAGGAAACCCCUUAGUCUAAACCAGGACAGGUGGUGGCUUCAGGGCAUGGCUGGCUUCCUCAGUGGGACAGGCCAGAGGUAAAUAAGGGAACCAGCAGGAAGAGGGCCUCAAAUUCAGCUGGGGUACCGGAUAAAUGCACCCUAGAGAGCCUGAUUCAGUGGAUAGAUUUGGUAAGGACUAGAAGUCGACAUUUAAGAAGCCCUCAGGUGAGUCUUGUGCAGAUGAUUCACUUACGACAUCCCGAGAGACCCUGUGAGAGAGGCUGUGGGUGAAACAGAACCAGAACCUGCCUCAGGGGGCUUGUACUGCUGUGAGGGGACCAUCUGGCCCCAGCCCACAGUGGAAUGAAACGAGAGCUAUAACACGAGCACCAGCCAACCUCUCCCCCUCCUCCCACUCUCCAAAGUCAUUCAGUGCGUACAAAGCUUGGCUUUGUUCAUUAUGAGGGGUGACUUGGCAUGUUCUGGCAGGAUGCCUCGAGGAGAGUGUGUUAGUUGCAAGAAGUGAGUGUCCACUCCAGCUUCCACCAGGCCUUCCUGUCUCAGAACCACCCUGCUUUCUACUGUACAGAGAGAGCCAUCUUGGAGGCCCACUGUAGCCCUGACUGUCCAGCAGGACAGUCAGGGGGCGAGGCAGUGGCCAGGUGGGCAGUUGUCGGUUCUGUUGCUUCUAAGUGAAACCUUCCCUAAAAUGAAUCCGUGAAUGAACUCGAGUCCUCCAGGGCACUUGGUUAUAAGGAUAGGUCUAAGAGCUCCUGGAGGUCAAGUGGUCAACCCGAGAGGGCUUACUUGCUGGGCUUGUCCCUGUUGACCAAGGACAGAGAACCAGAGGUGUCCCUCAGGAGGAGAGCAAAGGAAUGAUGGCUACCUACACCUCCUGCACCAGACUCACCUGGAGGCUAUGAAGUGCAAUUGUUGUCCUGCUCCCGAGCUACUGUAUGACUGUGCCACCAGCAGCUCAGCCUGGCUGCAGGACAUGAGGUUAGCGGGCUCCUGGGGUGACAUGCCACCACUGAGGUGCCAGGAGGGGCAGCCUGGAAGGAUGGGGCUGAGCUGUACAACUGGCCCGGGAGAAUCCAUCAAGCUCAUCUGGUCAGCCUGAGGGCCUGGGGGAGUGUGGCCUUGCAGGGACGGCGCCACAAAUGUCUCUGGUAGCCGGGAGCACGGGCUCUGGAGCCAGCUCGCCUGGUUUGGAAUCCCAUCUCCGUCAUUUAUCAACUGAGUGACCUUAGGCUUGUCGUUAACCUCUCUUAACCUCAGUUUUCCCAAAUGUAAAAUGAGGUAUUAAUGUUCCCCAGGUGGCUGGGAGCAUCGAAUGACAUGAACACCCAAUCAGCUCAGUACG